CCCUUAGAUGUCCGGGGCCGCACGCGCGCUACACUGAAGGAAUCAGCGUGGCUUUCUCCCUGACCCGAAAGGGUUGGGAAACCCGUUGAAUCUCCUUCGUGAUAGGGAUUGGGGCUUGAAAUUGUUCCCCAUGAACGAGGAAUUCCCAGUAAGCGCGAGUCAUAAGCUCGCGUUGAUUACGUCCCUGCCCUUUGUACACACCGCCCGUCGCUCCUACCGAUUGAAUGCUCGGGUGAGCCAUUCGGACUUUCAUCAUGCUGGUUUCCAGUUUUGAUGAAGGAAAGUCUUGCGAACCUUAUCAUUUAGAGGAAGGAGAAGUCGUAACA
rnacentral:rRNA from 1 species